AUGCCGCUGAAUGAAUUUGAUAGAUUAGUUUACUGGAAACACUUUAGUCAACCAUAUAUAGUCGUCCUCGACACUGGGACGCUGCGGUUAUCUCGAAUGGAUUUGCCGCCGCCAUUGCAAGAUAUGGGCUCCACAGAAUUUAAGCUUGGCCUGACCAAGGAUGGGAGGCUGUCUUUGGUUUUCAUAGAUCACUUUCUUGCAAGCAAAGGAAUGCUCGCUGUUUGGUUUCGGAGAGCCGAUGGUGACGGCGUUGAGAAAUGGAUGCUGCACAAGAUUUUCGCACUGAGUGAAUUUGUUGAUUUCUCUAUGUGUUCACAAGAGUAUCAUGAUGUCAUUGUGCAUCCUGCGGAGGUCAUAGGUGAUUUUCUGUACCUGUCUCUUUGUUAUGAUGGGUAUACCAGGUGCUGCCUAUCCUUGUGCCUGGAAACAGACAAGGUAAACAAGUUCUUUGAUCAUAGUGUCCAUCCCUACAUCAUGGCGUGCCCGCCUUCUUUGGUAUGCAACAAGGAGGAUUUGGAAACCAAAGUUACUUGA
rnacentral:rRNA from 1 species